GACGAACGCUGGCGGCGUGCUUAACACAUGCAAGUGGAGCGACGAACCAGGGCUUGCCCUGGGGCAGAGCCGCGAACGGGUGAGUAACACGUGGGUAACGUGCCCCAAUGAUCGGGACAACCCGGGGAAACCCGGGCUAAUACCGAAUGUGCUCCCCUCACACCAGUGAGGGGUGGAAAGGAAGCUUCGGCCUCCGCAUUGGGAUCGGCCCGCGGCCCAUUAGCUUGUUGGUGAGGUAACGGCUCACCAAGGCUGCGAUGGGUAGCUGGUCUGAGAGGACGAUCAGCCACACUGGGACUGAGACACGGCCCAGACUCCUACGGGAGGCAGCAGUGGGGAAUCUUGCGCAAUGCGCGAAAGCGUGACGCAGCAACGCCGCGUGGGGGAAGAAGGCCUUCGGGUUGUAAACCCCUUUCAGGAGGGACGAAGCCUCGGCCGUUAAUAGCGGACCGAGGUGACGGUACCUCCAGAAGAAGCCCCGGCUAACUUCGUGCCAGCCGCCGCGGUAACAC
rnacentral:rRNA from 1 species